rnacentral:tRNA from 1 species
AUUGCUUUGGCAGAUUAGUGCAGUAAAUUUAGAAUUUACGAAUGUACGGAGGUACAGGUAAUA